UUUUUUUUUUUUUUUUUUUGACUGUGCCCAUGGUAUGCAGAAGUUCCCAGGCCAAGGAUCAAACCCGGGUCACAGCAGUGGCAACACUGGAUCUUUAACUGCCAGGCCAUCAAGAACUCUGCAGUUGUAACAUUUUGAACUCUUUAAAAUUGCUACCCGCCCUCCAAGUCUACCCUGAACGUGUGAUUUCUCUUACCUUGGUCUAGUGUUUUUGCUCCAGCACCUUCUAUUCUUCGUAGCNCCCGUGCUGGAACCAGUGCUCCAUGGAGGCAGGGUUUUUCCCCUCCUGUCUGAUUGCUGACAUGCUCCAAAUGUCUGGAAACAGCACCUGACAUUGGGUGGGUGCUCACUGAGUAUCUGUCAAGUGAAUGAAUGGACGAAAGCACCCAGGAAGAGCUUGGCUUGUCUGUCUUUGAGGAUCCGUGCGCGCAAUAGAUGUCUGAGGACGUGGUCCCCUGGGAGGUGCCCGCCCAGUCUGGCCACCUGCCCUUGACCCCAGAGGAAGGGCGACGCUGGUAGUGCCCAUUGCUCAGAUACAGGAAGGCUUUCUAGAACUUUGGGCAGGACAGUGAGGACCCUGGGAGAACGACCAGGUAGUGAGUAGAGCUGCCUGCAGCUAAGGAUUCUGAAGCCUGUGGUCCGACCGCAUUCCUGAACCUCUCCCCUCCCCCUCCUGUCCCCACAGCUUGGACCCCACCCUCUGGGCUUGAGAGGUAGAAAAAUGCUGGAUUGAGCAAUUGGGGCCGAGAUGAGAUCCCGGUUUACUCACCCUCUCUCUUCUUGUCUAGUAGCUGGUGCCCGACCCACAGAAUUAAUCCAGGUUGUCCUGGCCAGCUCCACACCUGGAGCCAGGCGUGUCCCAUUACUCAGGGUCAAGUCCAGACCCCACCUCUCAGCCUGGUGCUUGGGCCCAGCCUAGACCUCUGUCAGCAGCUCCCCACCCCCGGCCCCUGCCAUGCAAUCCUUAGCUGUGCUCAGCAAGUCCAUUUCCAGUCUUGGCUCCCUUUUGCCCAUGACCUGGAUGUGACCUGACCCAUAUCCAGGUGCCCUCUUGGCGUCACCAUUCAACCUGUUCAGAUGUCAUACCCCCCGCAGCCAGGAUCGAACCCACAACCUCAUGGUACUUAGUAGGAUUCAUUAACCACUGAGCCAUGACGGGAACUCCAAUGAUAUAUUUUUAAUUUUUAAUUUUGGCUGUGCCCAGGGCAUAUAGAAGUUCCCAGGCCAGGGAUCGAACCCAUACCACAGCAGUGACCCGAGCUGCUGCAUUGACAACCCUGCAUCCUUAACCUGCUGCAACCACAAGGGAACUCCUAUUGUGCCAUGAUUUUUGAUGGGCAUUUUAAGAAGGAUCACUGUGACUGCUGGCUAGAGAAUGCACAGGAGGUAGUGGCCACCGUAAAAAUCAGGGAAGCAGUUGGGUAAGAGGUGGUUGGCCUGAGCCAUGGCCAGAGGUCAAGGUAGUGGAGAAAGAUGGUGAGUAGGUUUGGAUUCAGGAUGUGGCAUUGUCACCUAAGGCCUCUGAGAAGACCUGGUUUAAUCCACACUUGACAGCAGAAUCCCCUUUUCAGGUGGUCAUUCAACACAUCGAAGCUCAGAGAGUUCAUGGUAUAGUGAAGAGGGUCCUGGCUUGGAACUCGGGGGAAGUGGGUUCUGAGGUUGCCACCUCCUGGUGUUGAGACUUCCAGCCUGUCUCACUUCACUUCCGGGCAUCCUCCUCUCCAAACCGAGGACAUUAACUGGCUUCCCGAUUCCACAGCUCAGUGACGUCAUGCCCAAGGAUACAUCACCGUUAUCUGUGAAAACGCUCCUGCAUCUGGGGAAGGCAGGUGCCCUUGUGUCAGUGCCUGGGAUGUCAGCCCACCCCAGUGGCUCUGAAAGCUCAGGACAGGUAGGGCCGGCGUGAUGGAGUGGGAAAGAGGACCGAGGUUCUUAGGCACAUGGAACUUCCGUAAAGUUGGCUGACUUGGAAGAGCCCGGCGUCGGAAGCCUGGCAUCAGAAUUGUACGGGACCGCUUGGAGGAGCCGUCCUCCUUUGCCACGGGUCGUGUGAUGCUAUCGUGUCUCCGCCGGGUGUUUGGGGAGGUGCAGGGAUCUGUCCCUAAUGAUUCUGGUGUUUCCAGAAGAUUGACUAGUGCGUGUCGGUCAGAGCAACCUCACAGUUAUCCUGAUCACAGCACACGCCCCCUCGCCUCGCAGUCCGGGAGGUGGUCUCUCCUUGGUGUCUCUGCUGCACCCGUAAGAGCCUCUGUCUUACUGGAAGGAAUAGCACACACGUGGUCGAAAACAAAAUCACGCCGUCCUGAAGGUUGAGAGUAUGAAGCAGCACGCACACGGCUUUCCACUCCCCUCUCCAGCCGCAUCGUAUGUUUAGUUCUCCUGACACUUGCUUCCACAGUUUUCGAGAAAAUGCUUAGAUGUUGUUUAGUGGUUUGCUAAAGUUAACACUAUCUCUUGGUUUCCUGUUAUGGAAGGUGAGGGGCUGUUUCUGCCAUGCCAACCUUGCUCCCCAAAUGUGGCAGUUUUUGUACUUUUAUAGUAUCAGUGAGACCUUCAUGACGUGGCGGGGGGUGGCGGGGGAGCUGCCGCUGGGAACUGAUACCCGGGCUUUGGAAGGACCUGGUUCAAACCAAGGGUGGAAUUGAACAGCCCUCUGAAACUCAUGGUCUUUAAAGACUUUUCUUUUUCUUUUCUUUACUUUUUAAAACUGUUGUCUUUCUGUGAACCCGUGGGAGGAAUCGCUUUAGGUGUUAGGGCAAGAAUGGGGCUGCCCCUGAGCAGGUGGCUUAUUUAGUCUUAAGGACACGGGGGACCCUUUACCCAGCACAUUUCCCUCGCUCUGUGCUCUGGCUGCAAAGCUCCGUGCCAGAUUUGGGGCCCCCUCUCGUGCCGGGAGGUGGAACCGGAGGGGUCCUUGACCCCAGCCAGACCUCAUCUGGUGUCUGCCCCUCUUUUCUCUGGGUCUUUGCUCUGGAUCGGGAAAGACGCGGCGUGGGGACUUUAAUUCUCUUCCCUCCGUCCUCCCAGCCCCUCUGCGCUCUGAAAUCAGACCUGCUGAACUUGACCCCCCUUUCCUGGGGUUCGUGCCCACACCGUGCUCCGCCCUCCCCCCUCCUCCCAGAAUGGGAAGCAGCUACUCCAGAAAUAGGACGCGUGGCAGCCUGCCCCGUGUCUUUAAGGGUGAUUUAUUCCUCUGUUAGAGACACCGGGCUGUGUGAGGAUUUACCUCGAGUCCCUUCAGUGCUCCGGGCUGAGCCUUGUAAAAAGAUGCUCAGCAAUUAGAGCCGAGCGGAGCCGCCUUCGGCCGGGGCCUAUACAGGCUUUAACGAGAGUCGGCCGGAGGCCAGGGAGCCUCAUGUUGGCACGUUUGGCUCCCCUUUUCCUGAACCCUCAUCGCCUCGGCUUAGGGGCUCAGAGUAACCAGACUGUCAGAGGCAGGAAGAUUGCCAGCAGCCGGGCUGCCUGGGGGUCUUAUACCCACCCCUUCAUCCUCCUUCCCUGCAGCUAUGCUGGCUCAGUGAUUUAGCCCCCCACCCCCCACCCUUUUUAGAGCAGUGUAGACCUUUCCCCUCUUUCAUAUACUGAACUUGUUCCUGGUGGGGUUGCACUUGACAGUGAGGUGGAGGGGUCUGUUCUGGUUGAAGCCCCCAGCAGCCCUCCUGCCGAGCAGACUUGUCUGCUCCUGAUACAGCCCACCGGGAUUUUAUUCCCUCUCUCCUGUGCAGCACACCCCCUAAUAGGCGGAUGCAUUGCUUUAUUUUCAGUUCCUUUCUCCAUAAAGGAUUCUUAGAGACCUGUGGAUUUCAGAACUGAGAGGGCCUCAGAAUUCGGUCCUGCUUCCAUUUCUGUGCAAUAAAGGGGCCCUCAGAGUUCCCUCUGUGGCACAUUGGGUUAAGAACCUCACUGCAUUGGCUUGGUCACUGCGGAGGCUCUGGUUUGAUUGCUGGCUUAGCAUGAUGGGUUAAAGGAUCUGGCGUUGCUGCAACUGAGGUGCAGGGCACAAGCUGCGGCUCAGAUUCAGUCCCUAGUCCAGGAACCUCCAUAUGCUGUGGGUGUAGCCAUUGGGGGAAAAAAAAAAAGGCCCUUAUUUCUGAGCUCAGAGGUGCCAGGCUGGCUGCCUUCUGAGAUCUUAAGGUUUAGUUCUCUUAACAAUGAUGGAAUUAACUGUUUGAGGGAACUCUUCAGAAAGGCUUCAUUUGUUCAUUCAUUCAUUCAUUCAUUCAUCAUGGUUCAGCAAACCUAUAUUGAAUUUCUUCAGUGUGUAAGGCAUGUCAGCUGGGUGCUGUGGGCAGUGAAGACACCCAGUGGGAACACUUGGCCCUCUGCGUCCCAGGAGCCGACAAGCCCCUUGCCAAGCUGGGACACGCACCUGCCGUGCUCCAGCAUAAACCUUUUCUGGCUAGUGAUGCUGAGGGCCUGGUGGUGAUGAGAGCGGCUCAGAAACCAGCCUGGUCCACUCCUCUGUCGGGGACCGCACUUUCCGGGAGAGGGCUGCCUGCUGAGCAGGAGUGGGACAGUCUGUGUGUCCAGGCCUCCGGGGAGGCCAGGCCCAGCUCACUCUGACAUCUGGGCGGGUGGGAGGCCUCCUCGCUCUGCAGUCUCCUCCUCUGAUGGACUUGGCUUUUUGGAUUUUCCCCACGUACACCUGAGCCUCUUGAUUGACUCUGAGACUAAGCGGGAACCACCGCUGUUCCCUUUGUUGAGCAGGGAGGGAAAAAAAAAAAAAAAAAAAAAAAAAAAA
rnacentral:lncRNA from 1 species